UCAUAAAUUAUAUUAUUUAUAAAAUCACAAAAUAACACCUUUAAACUUAAGUUAUUAUCAUUCGAUAUUAAUUAAUACGUUUAGAAAAUGUUUGUUUAAACAAAAGGUGUUGUCAUCGCAAAUACAAGUAACGUCUGAUAAAAUUAGUAAGUUUGUAACUGUAUAUAUCUUGUGCAUGCACGCACAUUAGCAUAUUAGCAAUGACAUCAGUUUCCUUUUUCGAUAUAGCGCAACAUACAUGCACGCAUAUAUAUGUAUCGCGCGCCGCCGCACUUCAUCGAUGUUGCGUGUGUGACCCGCUUUUUUCUCUUAUGUUAAACUCAAGGUAGAGCUAGGGGUUGCGCAUGACCAUGAGUAAAGAGAAAUUUUCACAAAUCAAUAUUGCGACCAGCUGUAGCGAUGAGUAAAGUCACGCAGCUUAAAAAUCUUGUUGUUACUCCAUCCGCCUAUAGGCAACUCGUUGGAACUACUUCCGCUGUCCUCGCCUUGCCCUUUCUCCAGUGGCGCUCUUGCUCGCAGCAACCUUUCAUAGUCGCAUGACUCAUGAAAGGAAUCACGAUACAUGCUCUGACGGUUUGACUACAUUUCCGCCCCCCAUUACAGUUUGCAAAGGCAGCGGAAAAAGGGAAAGAUGAAGGAGGACAACGAAAGAAGAGAGUAUGCAAUUGUUGGAGGGUCUCGUCGGGAUUGCUGCGAUAGCGAAGAUGGAAAGAAUGCUUCUCGUGCCAACGGCGGUAACCACGGAUAGUGGAGAAAAGUGGAGAUCUUUCCAGCGAGAGGCGAGAAACUUACAGAAACAGGCGCAAUUUCUUACUACCACGAACACAAAAGUGUAUAUACAUUUCAAUGCACUGCGAAGCAAGGAAACGUCAAGCGGCAUUGUGCCGUCACGUGCGACCACUUGCCGUUCCAUAAAGUGUUAUCCCACUGAUGCUUCUUUCUUAAUAUAGUAAUAUAUAACACUCGAAUUUUAAGUAUUUACAAUCGCAGUAGCAUUUAUCAAACUCUUGCAAAUAUAUAUCUUAUAUUAUAAAAUAUCGAAAAAUAUUCUUACAAAACUAGAGGAUAAAAGCUAUACAAUAUAAUAAAAAUAUAAACAUAUUUUAUUUUUAUUAGUAUAUUACAUCUAUACAUAGUUAAACAAUAAGGUAUAUAGCAAAUACUUUUGCAUCUUGAUUUGAAUUAUAAAAACAAAUGAAAACAUCCUUUCCUACUGCUUGUACAUGCAUGUGUGUGCGCGCGCGCGCGCGUGAUGUACGUGUAAGAACUUUUCCAAGUGCUAUUUACAAAUAUUUAUAAUCUUGCCACAUUCCAUCUUAUUCACAAUCUAAUUCCGAUUUUCAACAGUUAGUCUAUUAUAUUUUUUUAAAUUAAAUAUUACAUGUGUCUCUGCAAAUAAAAUAUUAUUUAUA